UUGUAAUUAUUUUGGAUAUUUAUAUAAUUACAUCAAGGGGUUAUUAUUUUGUGUGGUUCUAAAAGUCAGGGUUUGUUAUUCAAACUUAAGAUUCUUUGAUUUUUAACUUAUCUAUGUUAUUUUGCCAGUUCCAAUUUCAGAUUUCUGUAUCAAAUCCUUCUGUAUCUUCGAUCUUUAUUUUCAUUUUCCAGAUCUGCGAUGAAAGUUGAAAGCUUGAGGCAAUUACUUCCAUUCUGGGGAUGGAAUUUAAUUCAUUGGUUAUCAGUAGUAAAACCUUGCUCCAUUUUGAAUUAAGCUGUUACAAGAUUAGGAGUGAUAACCUUGCUCCAUUUUGAAUUAAGCUGUUACAAGAUUAAGAGUGAUAACCUUGCUCCAUUUUGAAUUAAGCUGUUACAAGAUUAAGAUCAGUGAUGAGAAGCAUCAGCUAACUUCUUCCGGAAACAGUGGCAAAACAGCUGAAAUGUUAUUUUUAUUGACCUUUGGUGAAGAAGAUCUGCAUCAUGGAAAACUUAAUGCAUGUGAAGUUUCACUUGGUGGCAGACUCAAUAGCAUCAACGUUGAGGAUAUGAAGUUUUUUGAAAGAAUGAAAUUGGGUGUUACUGUUUCUAUUCAUUCUUUGGACGAGAGAGCCUCUGCAGACCACAUUCGUUCAAAUGUACCUUUACUUGGCUGGAUGGAGAAAACUGCUUCUGAGUACCACUUAAGCUUUAUUAUGAUAUUAAGUUCAAUGUAUAAUGAACAGGGUUAUUAGCAGACUAGAAGUUCGAAUUGCUGGACGGUUAAAUAUUUAUACCUUGAAGUCUUUAAGUGUAUGGUAAAUUUUAUUUUAACAUAUAAUCACUUUUAUAGAUAGCUUGAUUGGUUUUUUUGUUUUAGCAGGUUGCUGUAGUGUGUUGGUUUUUGUUUUGUGUACUCCCAUGAAGCUCUAAGGUUUGAAGGCUUGAAGCAAGAAACAUGCCUUGUAGACAUUAUUAUUACAAUGCUUAUAUUGAAAAUUGAAAAGUGAUGUUGGUACUAAAAUACUUUGUGUGUCUUUGAGAUAUAAAAUCCAAUCUGGUCCUUUAAGUGUUUAUGAAUUA